rnacentral:lncRNA from 1 species
CGAACAUGUGCUUGCCAUAAACCUGCCUUGGUCACUUAGAGGUCAGAUGCCUGUCUUGUGACAAGGAACCAAUCAGAAGUUAGCUGGUGGCGCUAUGCUUUACGACCCUGGGUGUGCUUUACGGACAAGCGCACGACAAUGACGUAGAGAGCAUAGCAACCACCCUGGGAGGGCCUAUGAGCCAUAACAACCAGUUGACCAAUCAACACAGGGCAAGUCCUCCAAGCCUGGAGGCACACCAAUCAUGAGCCUGUGCGUACCCCUAGACACUCCCCUUACGCUGCCCUAUAAGAUCUUUGGGGAGACCUUAGGAGCCGUCUUUUCUAGCCGUCAGCCAUGGCGGGUGGGUGAAAGACCCGAGCUAACAUGGGGUUAGUUCGUUAAAUUACAAUAAAGCCUCGUGCAGUUUGCAGCAAGCUCUCGAAUCCGCCUGGUGAUUGGGGUGACCGCGAACCUGGCCUGAGACCCCGGAUACUUGAGUUUUCGGGGGUCUAACAUUUUGGGGGCUCGUCCGCGAUUUGCGACCACCCUUCACCUGAGUGGAUUCGAUCUUGGAGAUGCGCCGGAGGACAGACUGCCACUCUGAGGACACCCAGGACCCAGGAGUUUAUAAUGUCAGACAGACCGCCAGAUCCGGACAGUGACCCAAAGUCUCCAAAGAAGAUUAUGAGG